GGUGAAAUGACGGAUCGUCGGCCCCGCGCCGGCGACUCGCCGAAUGAGUUUCUGACCUAUCAACUCGAGACGGCGGGGUAGAGGCCCGCCGCGGUAACGACGGGUAACGGGGAAUCAGGGUUCGAUUCCGGAGAGGGAGCCCGAGAAACGGCUACCACUUCCAAGGAAGGCAGCAGGCGCGCAACUUACCCUAAUCUCGAUUCGAGGAGGUAGUGACAAGAAAUACCGAUGCGGGACCCUACGGGUGCCGCGUUCGGAAUGAGUACGAUUCGAACCACCUAACGAGGAACGAUCGGAGGGCAAGUCUGGUGCCAGCAGCCGCGGUAAUUCCAGCUCCAAUAGCGUACGUUAAAGUUGCUGCAGUUAAAAAAGCUCGUAGUUGAACGUUCGGGUUCCGCGGGACGGGGCCGCCCCGCGAGGGACGGCGCCGCCCCGGGGCUCGUGAUAUCUUAUCUCGCCGCCCGUCGCGAGGCGGACGGA
rnacentral:rRNA from 1 species